UACGUAGGGGGCAAGCGUUGUCCGGAUUUACUGGGCGUAAAGAGCGUGUAGGCGGCCAAGCAGGUCUGUUGUAAAAACUGGAGGCUCAACCUCCAGACGUCGACAGAAACCGCUUGGCUAGAGUCCGGAAGAGGAGAGUGGAAUUCCUGGUGUAGCGGUGAAAUGCGCAGAUAUCAGGAAGAACACCAAUGGCGAAGGCAGCUCUCUGGGACGGUACUGACGCUGAGACGCGAAAGCGUGGGGAGCGAACAGG
rnacentral:rRNA from 1 species